GCCAGCCGGGCGUAGCCAUCGCCGCCCGCCAGUCGGGCGCAGUCAUCACCCCUGCACCUGACAGGACUGUUUGGCUGUCGGUUUUUUCUUAUUUUUGUAUAGUGUUCUUUCGGCUAUUAAAUAUUCAAUGAUGAACACUAACUCCGCUGCACCUUGGUCUACUCUCUCUCACGACAGCCAUUACAGACAGACUGUGUUUUUUUCCCACACUCGGGACUCUGACUCUCUAUUAGUUACACAGAGUUUCGGCCUCCCAUCCUAUUCUAACCACCUUUCGCCGUCUUUGAAUUCAUGUUACCUGAUGAAAUUGCUGUACAAUAUGAUCUUGUUGCCACCUGAUGCACAUUCAGAUGUCAUAAAUCAGCACUGCAGAGCUCUUCCUGUACUAUGCCGUGCUUUGAUUGUAUUAAUGUUGAUGAUAUCUGGAAAUAUGCAUGUACACCCUGGCCCAUCUACAGUUGCUAGACCCAAUUCUGACUUGUGCUCUGAUAUCUGCUUCAUUGAUUUCUGCUCUCAUAAAAGCCUGGGUUUUCGGCACGUUAACACUAGAAGCUUAUUACCUAAAAUGGAUCAAUUGAAAGUGUGGGUUCACAGCUCCAAUCCAGAUGUGUUGGUCAUUACUGAGACGUGGUUAAGAAGAGUGUUUUGAAUACUGAUGUUAACCUUUCUCUGUAUAACCUUUUUCAGCAAGACAGAUCUUCCAAAGGUAGGGGAGUGGCAACCUUUACCAAGGAUCACCUUCAGUCCUCGGUUGUCUCCACCAAGUCUGUCCCCAGACAAUUUGAUUUGCUGGUUUUAAGCAUUAAACUUUCAAAUAGCUCUUGUUUGACUGUUACUGGUUGCUAUCGUCCUCCAUCAGCACCGGCCUGUACCCUACUUGCCUUAAACUCUCUCCUGGCCCCUUACACUGAGUCUGAAUUUGUCCUGCUAGGUGACCUAAAGUGGGACAUGCUUAAACCACCUGACCAAGUCCUAAAGCAAUGGGACUCCCUAAAUCUUUCUCAGAUUAUCACCAAUCCCACAAGAAUCAUCUUAACCAGAAUGGAGCGCUCACAGCUUCUCACUGCUGGCUGUCUGGCAGCACUCUGAGCCUUGACAGUUAGUGUUGGCUGGCCACCCAUGCUGUCACUGUAAGUCUUUCCCUCCAAUGGAGAGCCAGCUGGCCUGGCUGAGACUGAUUCACAUUCCACCACCAGCACACUGGAGACUGCGAGAACUCUUGGAGGACAGAGGAGAGGAGGGAAGGGCAGGGGAGGAGUAGACAGGGGAGGGGGGGAUAGGGGAUGGCAUGAGAGGAGAUCGCAGCAAACAGGGGACAGCCUGAGAACGUUCGGCAACGUUCCCAUUAGGUCCCUUUAGGUUUUCGCCGCAACAUUAUCCCACUGAGAAUGUAGCGUGAUGGUCCCAAGGGAACGUUCUCUGGGGGACCUUUGUGCAGUUCCCUGUAAGUUCCCAAGACGUCACUAAGGACCAUGUCAGGAACUUUUUGACGUUCUCAUGACUUUCAUUUUACUAGUCAUUAGGACGUUGCGUGAUGGUCCCAAAGGAUCUCUGGGGGACAUUUUUAUAGUUCCCAGGUUUGUUCCGGGACGUUUUUAAGACUUUCUUGGGACAUUGUGUCAUGGUCCCUUCAAGGUACCCUGAAUGUUCAUGGGAUAUUCUCUCAUGGUCCCCUGGAAGUUUUCUCUAAUUCCUAGUUUGUCCCCUGGACGUCACCGAGGACGUUUUUAUGACGUUCCUGGGUAGUUGUGUUAUGGUCCCCUGAAGGUCUCCUGAACCUACUUGGGACGGUGUGUCAUGGUCCCUGGAGGUUUUUGUAACGUGAUGGUCUCAUGUGUCCCAAACCAUUAUAAGUAAAUUAAUGAAAUGAUAUGGAGAUUUUAAGGUAAGUAGUAGGAUGUACAGCUAUAAAGUGUAAAAUCUUUAAUCAAUGACAAUAUAAUUACAUUUGACAUGAUCACUUAGUACUGACUUUUCAAUAUGACCACAUGUAACUCAAAACCUCUGGAUUUGGGGUACGCUGACAUUUCUGUUGCGCACAGUGUGUAGAAUUUCUGAUGUCCCCUACACAUUCAUUACUUAUAAUACAUACAGUGCAUUUGAAACUAUUGAGACCCAUUCACCUUUUCCACAGCCUUAUUCUAAAAUGGAUUGAAUGAAACAAAAUCCUCAUCAAUCUACAUACAAUAAUGACAAAGCAAAAACAUUUUUUUUUUCUGCAAAUGUAUUAAAAAUAAAUAAAAAAAUACCUUAUUUAAAUAAAUAUUCAGACCCUUUGCUAUGACUCGAAAUUGAGCUCAGGUGCAUCCUGUUUCCAUUGAUCAUCCUUGAGAUGUUUCUACAACUUGAUUGGGGUCCACCUGUGGUAAAUUGAAUUGAUUGGACAUGAUUUGGAAACACCUGUCUCUAUAAGGUCCCACAUUUGACAGUGUAUGUGUCACGUCCUGACCAUAGAAAGCUGUUAUUUUCUAUGGUAGAGUAGGUCAGGGCGUGACAGGGGGGUGUUCUAGUUUAGUUUUUCUAUGUUGUCAGGUUCUAGUUUUGUAUAUCUAUGUUGGGUUUUGUUUGGGAUGAUCUCCAAUUAGAGGCAGCUGGUCCUCCUUGUCUCUAAUUGGAGAUCAUACUUAAGUAGGGUUUUUUUCCACCUGAGUUUGUGGGAGAUUGUCUUUGAGUCAGUGUUUGUUUCACCUCUGCGUCACGGUUUGUUGUUUUGUUAUUCAGUUUAUUUAUAUGUAUUGCAUAGUUUCACAUUGAAAAUAAAAUGUGGAACGACACACACGCUGCACUUUGGUCCGCUCUUCCUACGACAGCCGUGACAGAAUCUCUCACCACCAAAGGACCAAGCAUCGUACCCAGGAGAAACAGGAAUGGACCUGGGAGGAAAUUCUGGACGGGAAAGGACCCUGGAGUCAGGCUGGGGAGUAUCGCCGUCCGAAAGAGGAGAUUGAGGCAGCGAAAGCGGACCGGCGAUAUUACGAGGCACUAUACCAACUACGAGGCAAGUGCGAGAGGCAGCCCCCAAAAUUGUUUUUGGGGGGGGCACACGGGGAGAUUGGCAGAGUCAGGGUGGAGACCUGAGCCAACUCCCCGGGCUUACUGUGGGGAGCGAGUGAUGAAGCAAAUACCGUGUUAUGCGGUGAUGCGCACUGUGUCGCCAGUGCGCAUUCACAGCCCAGUGUGAUCUGUGCCCGCACCCCGCAUUUGUCGAGCUAGGUUGAGCAUCCAGCCAGGACGGGUUAUGUCAGCUCUACACUCGAGACCUCCAGUGCGCCUCCACGGCCCAGUAUAUCCUGUGCCUGCCCCACGUGCCCGGCCUCCAGUGAGUCUAUCCAGCCUGGUACGCCCUGUGCCUGCUCCACGCACUUGCCCUGAGGUGCGUAUUACCAGUCUGGCGCCACCUGUGCCAGCCCCACGCAUCAGGCCUCCAGUGCGCAUUCCCAGUCC
rnacentral:lncRNA from 1 species